CAGGAGGGUCCCUUGAGCCCAGGAAUUAGAGAUCAGCCUGGGCAACAUACCAUCUCAAAAACAUUAAAAAUAAAAAUAUAAAUAAAAUACACAUAUACCAUGUAGCAGGGGUAAUGCACUAACUUACUAGGGUGGUCACAUUCACAGAGGAUAGGACUCUGAGGGCAUGGGUCUCAGAAUAGAUUGAGUUUUUUGGUAGACUGUGGGUCAGGGAGAAGAGAAGUAGACUAACUGAAUUCCUUCUAUGUGCUAGGUUCUCUUCUAACUGUUAUUUAAAAGGUUACCUUUCCUCAUUCCAGCCUUAGCACCAAGAGGUAGGUAGGCGUCAACUCCAUUCUAUGGAUAGAAAAGCAGUUUCUGAGAGGUUAAGCAAUUUGACCAAGGUCACAAGGUUAGUUGGUGGCAGACCCUAGGAGUAGGAAAGCUAGAGUGUUGUGUGUGGAGGAGUAGGGGGUUGGAUAAAAUCUAAGGCCUACCAAAAGGAAAACAGAGGCAAAAAAAAAAGGAGGAGGGGGAGGAAUAUGGUGUCAUUAACCAAACAUGAAUUAAAAGACCUGGUCCUGUCUUUAAAUUGGUUACAAUUCACCUGCAGAAAGAUGAGGAACUCAUGAUACAGGGCAGAAUAUAAUAAGCAAUACUAAUAGUCAAGUCCAAACUGUGCAUUAUGACUGAGGAAGAUAAACAAGAAACAAGCAAGGGAGGAGUCGGGCAACUUUGAAAAGGCUACUGGGAGGAGGUUGUCAAAGCCAUUUAAAAUGGAGACUUCCUUUAAAUACAGUGCUUGCUUCCUUUUGCUUGGAUGAAGUAGUUUUAGAUUUCAAGCAAGUUAGGUACAAAACAAUGAUUACUGAACUGUCUGGAAGGUCAACAGACACAUUAUGAUCAUUGAGUUAUAAAUCACUGAAGGCUAUAUGGGUCCAGGCAACAUCCCAUCUGCGGGUACUAUUUCAGGUCGAGAUACAUAAUAUCAAUUGUUGUCCCCAGCUCCACUUCCCGUCACUAAAAUGUGACAGUGAUUAAAUGCAAAAUGCAAAUAUUACAGUAUGUAAGUGCAAAUUUAAAACAAUAAUGGCCUCUUGUCAGACAAUAUGGAAAGGCAAAGUUGCAUGGAAUUUGUUAUUAUACUUGCAAAUGCAGCAAUAUUUACAAUGGGUUGACACAGAGCUACAUAACCCAAUACAAGGCGAGGGAAGAAUUAUGGAGAGCAGGAAAGGAAAAUUGUGAACACGGAAGAACACCGCCUUUAAGGAAUCACAAAGGAAGGCAUGAAGAGGGAGGAAAACAGUUUCAAGGUCAGUGUUCCUCAGACAUUUCGGAAUAGCCCCCAUGCUCCUAAUUUGUUUUAUGAAUCAAAGCAAAGGCCAGAGGAUCAGUUUUUUGAAGUUUGCUUAUGGCCUAACGUCCUCAGUGUCAACUCUGAUUUCUUAAUUGUCUUAUACUUCUUAAAUCUCUCAUUUUUCUAUGAUCCAUGAGAUCCGCGAGGCCAGAAACCAUGUCUGUCUUGUUCACCAUUCUAUUUCUAGCAUCUAACAGUGCCUGGCAUGUAGUGCCUGCUCAGUAAAUAUUUGGUAUUUGAACGAAUAGUUGUUCUCCUGGCUGCCUUGAAAGCUCUGGUGGCUUUCCUCCCCUACUAAGAAAUUGCUUCCAGUCUCUGUAUCUCUCCUUAUCCAAUUAUUUUCACUAAAACCUGCUUAUUUUAUAUCUUAUUCCCUCAGAGACUCUCUAAAGAGAGCAGAUUUUAACAAUAAGAUUAAUAGUUUCAGGCACUGCAUUAAUCUGGGUCCAACCAGAAAAAUAGAAAACCACUGUAAGUGUUUAAAACAGAGGAAAUUUAAUGCCGGGAACCAGUUACACAGAUGGUGGGGAUACACAUAAGGACAGUCUUGCCUCCCAGAUCAAGAGUAUGUUGAAAGCAGUUCUCUUGAUGCAUAAUCCUGUUAUGAGCUCACGCAAUCUAAGGGUUGGAAAGAAUCUUAAACUUUGUUAAGCUCCAACUCGUCAGAUGGCUGUUGUGCCACAGAUGGCUAUUGCCUACUCCAACAUCUCUUCUUCUCUUUCUCCUCAGGCACAGAAUGGCUAUUUUUAGAUGAACACAUUUCUACCCAGAAUCAAAGAUAAUUCUGUUUUUCUGACCUUCCUUGCAGCUAGCCAAGGCCAUGAGACUAACUUUUAGGCAAUAAUAUGUAAGCAAAGGUGUCAUGUGGGACUUCCAGGGAGGUUUCUGAAAGGGAGUGGACACAUUCAGGAGGGGCUUCUUUUGGUUUUCUUCCUUUCCUCCUUUUUGAGGCCUAUAGUAAAGACAUGUUGUUGGAACUCCAUGGGCCCAUGAAGUAUCCUUGUGGGUAGAAGACAUGGGAUAGGAUGAUACAACAGAAAGACAGGACGCCAGGUCCGUGAUGACACUAGAGAGUUACCCUGUAGCUUCGGACUGCCCACUUCCAAAUCACUUUUAACAUGAAAGAAAAAUAAACUUCUAUAUUAUUUAGCCAUUGUUGAGUUUUCUGAUCUUUUGCUUUCUUUCUAUUAUAUACAAGUGAAUCUAAUCCUAACUAAUCCAGUUAUAUCAUUUUUAUUGCAUCUGAGACAAAUGGCCAUUUAACUUUGGCUUGGAUACUUCCUGUGGUGGGAAACUUACUAAUUCUUUGGGUGGCCUAUGUAUCUUUGAACAGCUAUUACUAAUGAGAACUUUUCUUAACUGACUGCAAAUUUAUAUUUAUUAAGAUUGUACUUAAGGGUCUUUGAAUGGUUUUGGGUCACAAAGAACCUUCAAAUUUUUUUUAUGUCACGUAUUUGAAGAUGUGUCAUGUUCCUUGGAGUCAGCUCAUCUCCAGUUUAAAUAUCUCCAAUUCUUUCAACUACUCCCCACAAGACCGUUUCUUCAUUUCAACAAGCUUAACCUAGCUUCACGUAUUAGUUCACACAGGAAGCCCUAUGGAAAAGAGCUUGAGGCUAUGAGAUUCAGCAAUGUUGCCUGCAGCCCUAUAUAUUUAAUUGAUUCCAUUGAAUUAAGGAAAAGGUACUUUCUACUUGUUCUAGUCUAAAUUAGCAGUCUGAAGUUUACAUAAUGGACUUCACUAUUUUGGGUGGGCUAAAAUUGAGGUUAAAACAAACACGAUUAUUUAAUCCUAUACUAUAUUAUAAUCAGCGUGUUCAGCAAGAGACUUAAAGUUUUAAUUAAUUAUUAACCACAUUGUACACAAACCAGCUUCUCCUUUUACAUAGUAAGAGGCAACAUUCCCAGAGUCAUUAGCUAUUGCUUAAUCUUUUUAAACAAAGCUCCCUUCUUAAAUGUUUUCUGUGGAUGUAGCCAAUUCAGACUGUUGGGCUCUCAUCUCCAGGGCCGUCUGCUUAGCACCUGUUGAUCACUUCUAAUGGCAACAUAUUCUUGGAGUCUACUGAGAAACCGCUUUCCAUAUGUGUUAGAAGAAAUUUAUAGUCUCUCAAAAUGUGCGUCUAAGAGUUAUGCUUCUCCCCCACCACCCAACCAGAAGAGUGGCAAAUGCCAUUGACUCCUACCUGUCAAAUUCAAUAAACUAAUAUUUUUUUGUCGUCUCAGCUGACACUUCUAUGGCAUUUCACACUGUUGACUACCUCAUUUUCAAAAUUAUCUACUCCUUUGGUUACCAACAUGGCAUCCCUACUGGUUCUUCUUCUGUAUGGCCAUUUCUCAGUUUCCUGUGCUUGGUCCUCUUCCUCUAAUCACCACUUAAUUGUUGCUGUUCUUCAGAGCCCUGACCAUGGCCAUCUGUGCUUCUCAUUUGGCACCUUUACCCCAGACAAUCCCAUCUACUUCUAUAUAAUCAGCAUAGGCUGAUGACCUUUUAGCCUGUAUCUCCAGCUCUGACCUCUCUCUUGAGCUCCAAAUCAGCAUUUUCAACUGACACAGGGGCAGCGCUCUUGAUGACGCACAGGCACCACAAACCAUGAAUCUUCAAAACUCAUUAUCUCCCCACCCACAACUCAGAUACUCAAGCCAAAAUCAGAGAAUCAGGCACUUUCUUACCUUUCUGUAGUUAUUCCUGUCAAUAAACAUGUCAUUUAGAGAUGUGAAAACCGAGGCUGAGUGCUCAAGUAGUUUGUCUAUAAAUCCCUCAGCUACUACAAGACAAUUUUUUAAAGUUUAUUUUUAAAUUUUCCUUUUUUCUUUUUAUUUGUUUUUCCUUUUUUUUCUAAGCCCAUACCUUACAAGGACACUACAAGAGAAAUUCUAACACAUUUCAAUCUAACUCUGGAGCUGGAACUCUUAACUGUUAUGCUAAAUUCCCCUUACUAGGUAGUUCUAUUAUAGAAUAUUUUGUCUUCAUCUUGAAAAUCAGAGAGCAAGACCCUGAGGGAAGAGAACACUAAAGAGAAAAGGGUUGUUGAAACAUUCGGUUUGGAGGGGAGGUUAGGUUCCUGAACAACCGGGAGAGGUAAAAGCUCAAAAAGUGCAGGGAACAAAAGGCAGUUGAAGGAAAAAGUGCGAGGAGCCAGGGCAGAGGAGGAAGGGCCUCAGGCCAAAGUAGUCUUUCGUAGGGUCUUAUUGAGAAACAAGUGACCUCACUAGGAUUCAAUCAAGCUUGUAGGUAAGUGGUUUCCAGGUGGGAAAGGAAAAAACCUUUUGGUAAUCCCAAACUUUGAUUUCCACAUAACUUAUACUGAAAUCAAAAGGGCCUAUUGACUGAUACAAGUGAAUGGUAAACAUGAUGAAUAGCUGCAAAACAUAAUAAUUGGCAUUACUUUGGAACAGAAGCAAAGGUACAAUUAUCAUAGCCCAUUCAACCAUGAAAAUUAUAAGCAAAUUGACAGUAAGAUAAUUAUUCUCAAAAUAUUUUUUUCAACAGUUUUAUUAAGCAUCUUUCUAUUGUAGUCAUUUCUAUUUCUUCUGCUCCAAAUUCUGUCAGCCACUUUUUUUUUCUGGCUUUACACUUAACAACCCAUUAGGAAUGGAACUCAUUUUCAGUACACAAAAGGCUUUGGGACAGCAAAUGUCUUUAAUGUUAACACUCUCUCAGUAUCCGCUGCUUGACCAAAUAGAUAUAUUCCAACAAUGUUGGCUAUAAGAUAAAUGCUAUUUUGCUUUUGCCUUACAUUAGAAUGCUGAGGAUGUGUUCCCAUGAGUUUCUCCCUCCUUGUACCCCACUGAGUGGAAUGUUAAAAAUACGGAGAAAGCAAUUUCUACAGAUGCAGUCCCACCUCUGGCCAUGGCCAAAAUUAGCUGGAUAAUUCUUUGAAUCUGGCUAAUGUGGAAUCUUGCAAGGACAAAGAGGAUUUGCUCACGAACUGGAGCUAACUUCCUCUUAUAGUCUAUCCUCUGUGGAUUUGUGAGUCCACACAUUUUUACCUGUACAUGAACUUGGCUAUGAAUGUGCCUUGCCAAGGAUUACACUUGUUCAUCAUCACCAUGAGAGACAUUCCAGGGAGAUGAACAUGGUGGGAUGCAGGAAAGAAACACCUUCCUGGUAGAUGAUGGCAAAAUACAAUAGUAAGCAAGGGAAGAAUUAUCAUACCAAAUCAAUGAGGAUAUUUGCUGCCAAAGGCUUAGGCAUGGAGGCCAACUGGAUUCUCAUCCAUGACCCUGAUAGGACAUCCUGAACCCCAUUUAUGUUGUUUUAAGAGUGAUUCCAUAACCUCAAGAGAUGAGAGAAAGCCUGCUCAGAGAGGUUAAGUAACUUCUCCAAGAUUACACAACUAAGAAGUUGCAGAGGUAAGAGUCUAUGUCUGUCUGACUAAAGGACAACUUUUUUUUGUGUGCUGUACUGUUUCUGUUUUGCUUCUUGAAUCAGUGGCAUCUCCCACUCCACUGUGUAGUACAUUUUGAGUCAAUAUAAGAGAAGACUUUGAUGUUUGGAAUAAUUAGAGCUGGUAACAGGGUCUCUAUCACAGGCAGUGUUAAGCAGUGUAUAGAUAUUGUAGAGGAGAUUCUUGGAGUGGGUGGAAUAUUGUACCAGAGCAAUGAUUUCCAAAGAGUGCCAAGUGAUGGGGUGGGCCUUGGGGUGCCUACCCCACAUCUUCUUCAAUCAAAGCCACUCAGAGUUCAUCUACUGAAACGAUAAUCCAACAUUUAUUGAGCAUUUACCAGGUACUGUUGCAUAAACUUCCCAUGUAUUCAUUUAUUCAAUCAUUUGCAACAGUACCAAGAGGUAGGUACUGUUAUUACCCCCAUUUUACAGAUGGCAAAACAAAAACAAAAACAAAAACAGGCAUGGAGAAACAAAGAAACUUGUCCAAGGUCACACAGGUAGGGUAAGUGGAGGUGGGAUUUGAACCCAGGGCUGCCCAGCAUGAGAGCCUGUACUCAAUAAGCAGUAUGCCAACCAUCUUCUCAAUUUUGUUAGGAAUACUGAGUUUCUUUGAAAGAAUUCAUAUGAAUAAAGAGUGAUAUGGAUUGAAAUUUUUGAAAAUCGCUGUCUUUUAUGGAGUUUUCAAGUUUCAUUGGUUCAAUGAUCAUUCUCUGGGUUGAGACGGUCAAGAACCUCUGGUGACACUUUCUACCAAGAUAAGACCUUGGCUUCAGCCUCUGACUGUGGACUUGAAUCUUUCUUUUAGCUUUGUUAAGCCAGAAUUUGCUAGGUUUGGCCAUGGUUGUACCUAUAGACUGGCAAGUUGCCACAGCCUGACUUGGUCUCCCAGUUCUGAACUUGCUCUCUAGCUUACAGUGCUGUGGUUGGGUCCAUAACAUUUCUACACACAGAAACCAUCCAUCAGUCCCACCCAACUUGAGCAUAAACUGGGAUUAAGGUUCACUGGACACAAUGAACUGGUGGAACAUGUAAGCCUCAGGAACCUCCUCAGGAAAGACUUCCCUGAAAAAGGAGCCAAUCAGGAGUGAUGAGUCUGACCCUGCGAGAAAGCCCUCAUCAUCAGAGUAGAGGGGAACAAUCACUGUACAACAUGGUUGUCUGUCUCUCAGAUUUGUCUCCUAGCCAAGACCACCAUGGACUCUUGACUCAGUGCUGUGAAUAGGAGGCAUGCACAUAAAACCUAAGAGCACUGGUUCAUGCAAAACUCCGUAAGACACCUAGGCACCGGUAUUGCUGCUUAAGUGUGGCUCUAACAGAAUCAAACCUGAAUAACAAAGUCAGUCAUUUAGUUACCAAUAUGGGUUGUACACCCAUGGUGUUCACAGUCCAGUGCUUGGUUUUCUGCUGAGUAAGAAACAUGAGUUUUUAUCAGCAAGGGAAUACAGUAUAGGGGAGGAACAUAGUCUUUAUCUAAUGGUGUCGAGGAGGAAGAGAAGAAAAGUACAGCAUUAGACAGAAGCAUGCAUGGCCAGAAAGCAUCUAAAUGUGUAUAGACUGCAUAUAGUCCUGUUAUCAGAGAUUCAUUUUCCAUAUCUUCCCAAUGGGACUAUUAAUACCUACCUUGCAGGGUUGUUGGGUAGAUUAAAUAAAAAAAUGUAUAUAAAUGGAUAUAAAAUGUCUUGUUCAGUUCCUGUUAACACAAGAGCACUGAUAAAUGGAAGAUAUUAUUCUUAUUGGUUGGGGUAAUAGUAUUGUUACUAUCUUAUUAUUAGCACCCAUGAAAUAUGUUGUUCUAAGUAGCAAAAAAUAUGAAUCUAGGGACAUUCUAAAUAGCGGUUAUGUUUUAUUUGUCAAUAUCAAUGUUAGGAGCUUAAUUCUUGUGACCUUCCUAUUGAAUAUGCUCUGGAUGUUACUUCUGUCUUACUGUCUGGGUAGGGAUUUCCCUGAAAGCAGGGAUUUCAUUCCCACCAAAUUAGAAACUUGCUAUGGAAGAGAAUCACAUCUUCCCAGCUCUACUGUAGAGUCUACCAUCAGAUACGAGGCAGCCUGAAAAUUGGGUGCGAGCCUCCAACAGUGGAUUUUAGUUUUCUCCAAGGACAUAGAUACUAUCUUUUAUCUAGAGCCCACAGGUGGUCAUUUGGUACAUGAUGUUCUUGAGUGGAAUAAGAUAAUAGCAUUCUGCAUUUUAUUACUGGUUAAUGUCUUGGUAUUAUAGUUGGAUUGAGCUAGAGUGAGAAGGCAGAAAAGGGAUGGGAGCAGGUAGGGUCCAGAUGCCUCAUCAUAGUUGAGUUUCUAUGGAAUAUCAAAAACCAUUUUACCCUCCAAAAUUUUGCAGCUGCCAAAUGUCCCCAGACGCUGCACUGAGAUGUUUUCCUUUAUUUUUAAGCCUAGGCACAUUUCAGGCCCUAUUGAAUGCAUGUGCUUCCAAUUGAUUUACAUUUAACACAUCAAAAUGUUGUUUUGUAAGAGAUUUGAUAUCCAAGAAGCCUGCUGAGCUGCUUUUAUGAACAUUUUAAAGCCUUUUUCUUUGAAGGGAUUGAAACCUGGGUGGUACUCUUUGUUGUUUCCAGCCUCAGAUGGCCAGAGACUGCUGAAAUAGUAGAGGGUAUCCUGGGAUGGCCUGCAUCUUGUAGAGUGACUGGGGGUCUGGGAGAGGCAAGAGGAUGAAGAGGGUUGUGGAUCAAAUGUGGAUGGGACACAUUCUUUGUGCAUCAUGACCAGACAGACAUCUGAAGUCCCAAAUGUUGCCUGUUAAAACCAAAUUUGAGUCCUAGCUGUUUCAAUGAAUCUUUAUUUCUUCGUGUUUAGACUUUAUCUUCUUCAAUUUCUUAACCUUUAUUGUUCAAACCACAGUGCAGGACACAGAAUUUGCUUUACUGAAAUGUUACUGUGGCCGGGAGAUGUGGAGUGGGAGGUAUCUGUUGGAAGAGCAAAAAAUGUAAAAGAUAUAAAGUGCCAUUGGAGAUGCAAGAGUGUUACUUACAAAGCACCUAAUCUUGUGGCUCUAAACACAAAUGCCCAUACGUGUAGCUUGUGAGUGGAAGGCAUUAGGGAGUGGGACUUUGGAGAAGCAGAGCAUGUAUUCUCCAUCUAAAAUCAUUAAAAAUAUUUGAACACUGUCCAGACCAAACAAAGCAUAUUAGAAUGCCCAGUUCACUAUACAGUCUCCAGUGUGCAGUACCUUUAUCUAAAUCAGCCCUCAAAUCUAUUAAUGAGGAAACUAAAACUUGAGAGCUGCAAAAUGCACCUAGUACUUAAAGCCCGUUUCUCUCCUGAAUCCUUUACCUCAUUGAUACACCAAAGCUGCAAAAUUACUUGUCAAAAUGCACCCAGCUAGUAAGUGGCGGAAAGAGACUCAAACUUAAGAUUUUGGAGUGUAAACACUUCAAGUCCAGUGCAUUUUGUCAUUGUCAUUAUACUAUGCUACCUCCUUAGAUUAAACCUUAUAAGUCAGGAAAAAAAUUACAUCUAUAUAUUUCAUAUAUAUAUAUAUAUGAAACCAAUGAAGGAAACUUAUGAACCACACAAUGCCUAGUGCUGGUAGUUUAGUGGGGGGAAGAUUGACAAAUUGACAGUGGAAAAAGAAUAACAAAGUGGCUGGGAAUCAGAAAUAAGGAAAUGUAAAGUAUAAAUUAGAAAUUGGGGAUGACUCAGAGGAGGUGAACCUUGAAUCACUUCUGAGCUGGAAGUGACAGAAAACUCAAGAAAGCUUAGAGGCAGGUGUGAGGUGGGAGAGUGAUGGCAGCAGGCAGUCCCUUUGAAGAGUUAGGUGAGGAAGUCUUAGACAAACAUGUAAUCUAAAGUCAUAUGUGGUUAAUAUUCCAGUUAACAGUUUAAAAGCAUAUCUGCGACUACCUAAGCUAAGAAGUGGAGGAGAGAACAUUUGUAUUCACCUGGAGGCUUUCAUUUUAAGCAUUAUGAUGUGUGUGUGUGUGUGCGCGUGUGUGUGUGUGUGCACGCACGCUUCUGUGUGUCUAGAAAUGUA